UGAGACACGGCCCAGACUCCUACGGGAGGCAGCAGUGGGGAAUAUUGCACAAUGGAGGAAACUCUGAUGCAGCAACGCCGCGUGAAGGAUGAAGGUUUUCGGAUUGUAAACUUCUUUGAUUGGGGACGAAUAAUGACGGUACCCAAAAAACAAGCCACGGCUAACUACGUGCAGCAGCCGCGGUAAUACGUAGGUGG
rnacentral:rRNA from 1 species